UACGUAGGUGACAAGCGUUGUCCGGAUUUACUGGGCGUAAAGCGCGCGCAGGCGGCCUUUUAAGUCUGAUGUGAAAUCUUGCGGCUCAACCGCAAGCGGUCAUUGGAAACUGGAGGGCUUGAGUACAGAAGAGGAGAGUGGAAUUCCACGUGUAGCGGUGAAAUGCGUAGAUAUGUGGAGGAACACCAGUGGCGAAGGCGACUCUCUGGUCUGUAACUGACGCUGAGGCGCGAAAGCGUGGGGAGCAAACAGG
rnacentral:rRNA from 1 species